rnacentral:rRNA from 1 species
AUGGCGACCAAGGUUUCUGCGUCGGGAGAUGACGAUGCCGAUCUGGAACAUCUGAUGCAACAACUAGGGAUUGAGGACACAGACUUGGAUGAUGUGGUCUUCGAAGAUGAGUGCCCGGCGGCGGCGGCGACUGUCCGUUGGCUGGCGAUUGGCCGUGUUCAUACCAUGAAAGAAUACGGGGAUUUUUGGUUCUACAAGAAUAUGCGAAACGCCUGGGACCUUGCGCAGGAUGUCAAGUUCAGAUCCCUUGGCGAUAACAUGUAUACUAUGCAGUUCUCUUGUCUUGGGGAUUGGGUUAAGGUCAUGGAAGGAGGUCCUUGGUCUUUCCGGGGCAAUCCAGUGCUCAUGGCUCCUUACGAUGGUUUCUCAAAACCAUCAUCGAUCGAUCUGCAUAGCUUCAAAAUUUGGGUC